UGAACCCAGGUGUUGAAGACCAGCCUGGGCAACGUAAUGAGACCCUCCUCUCCACAAAAAAACAAAAAAUUAGCCAGGUGUGGUGGUGCAGCCUGUGGUCCCAGCUAUUUGGGAGGCUGAGACCGGAGGAUUGCUUGAGCCCAGGAGCUUGAGGCCAUAGUGAGCUAUGAUGGCACCUCUGCCCUCCAGCCUGGCUGGCAGAGAGAGGCCCUGUUUCUGGGUGUGUGUGUGUGUGAGGGGGAAGGCAGAUUCUAUGGCCCCACUCCAGGCCUUCCACAUCCCCUGGGCCGGGACUGAGAAUCUGCUUUUCACAAGGGUCCUAGGAAUAUCAUUUCGCGCGGAGACUGUUGGGAAACACCGACAGCCUUGAAUGCCGCUGCCCACCACGGACAGUCAUUCAUUGCCUUAUCGAUCAUUCCAUCCACGUCCCUGCUCCGUGCACACCUUGCGCCGACGCACCUCCUCGCUCCUCCCAUUCCUCCCAGUAUCUCCGUCAGCUGUUCCUGACGCCGCUUUCUGGCCGGGGCGAGUCCUCACUGGGCCGAGCCCCGUCCCCAGCCCGCGACUGCGCCCUGGGCCCCGAGCGUCCCGCCCCUCCCCCACCACGGAGCCGCAGGCCGGGACCCUCCGCGUCCACCGCCAGCUGCCCGCAGCCGCCCACCCGGCAUCCGAGCCUUUCGGCGGCGACGGGCGGAGCUGGAGCCUCGGGCCUGGGCGCCAGGUGGGCUCCUGGGACGGUGAUGAAACAGGCCCUGGUGGACGAUACGGAAGAUGUGUCCCUGGACUUUGGGAACGAGGAGGAGCUGGCCUUUAGGAAAGCCAAGAUCAGACACCCCUUGGCCACCUUUUUCCACCUGUUUUUCCGAGUGAGUGCCAUCAUCACCUACGUGUGCUGCGACUGGUUCAGCAAGAGCUUUGUGGGCUGUUUUGUCACGGUGCUGCUCCUCCUGUCCCUGGACUUCUGGUCUGUGAAGAAUGUGACCGGAAGACUCCUGGUAGGCCUGCGAUGGUGGAACCAGAUAGAUGAAGACGGGAAGAGCCACUGGAUCUUUGAAGCCAGGAAGGUCUCUCCGAAUAACAUCGCUGCCACAGAAGCGGAAGCACGAAUCUUCUGGCUGGGCCUCAUAAUCUGCCCCAUGAUAUGGAUUGUAUUUUUUUUUAGCACCUUAUUUUCCUUGAAGCUGAAGUGGCUGGCUCUGGUGGUUGCUGGGAUCUCUCUCCAAGCUGCAAACCUGUAUGGCUACAUCCUUUGUAAGAUGGGAGGCAACAGUGACAUCAGCAAGGUCACAGCCAGUUUCCUGUCCCAGACGGUGUUCCAGACGGCCUGCCCAGAGGACUUCCAGAAGCCUGGCCUUGAGGGGCUGGAGAUUCACUAGCAUUAGUAGAGACGGGUUUCACCAUGUUUCCAAGGCUGGUCUUGAACUUCCAGCUCUUCUUUCAACACUGGAAAAUGUGGCAAUUGUGAUGACCACAAGGACACUCCUCCUGGAUCUCUGACAGCAGCUGCCAUGCUCCAAAACCCAUCACCAUGUUUGUGUCAAGGCAAUGCCACACUCAGGCUGCUCCUUGCUAGUGACUGAGCCGAGCAUGGCACUCAGUCAGGCACGUUCCUAGGAGAUGCAGCCCCUCUGAUGGAUACUUCCCCUGACAAAUGUCCUGUCCAUCAAUCCCAUCUCGGCAGAGCUGACCUGUGGCAGAGGUACAAGCUGGCAGGAAUGUCUGUGCCCCCGGCUGCUGCAAGCUCCCCGCCGGCCCCAGUCACGUCCAUUCAUGUGGCCUGCCUGCCUCCAGGGACCUUUGAGGGCAGCUCUUAGCACCACUCUGGUCACUGCAAAAGCUGCCUGGUGAGUGUUUUAUAAUGCUGGGGAAGGCUGAGAAAGCAGCUGUACUUUUGUACAUUUUGUCGGGGAAAUCAUGCCAGAGAAGCAUUUAGGGAUGUGGGAAGAAGGGAAGAAGGAUUUUGGGACCCAGCCUCCCGGGGUCCCUGGGGUUCUCCAGGGCCGUUCCCAACCGCCAAGUGGCCCUCGCACCCCUUCACCACUUCCUCAACGGCAGCCGCCCCCAGCACUGUCCUGGCUCUCGCUUUCUGUGCAGCCCCUUGGCAGUCCUGUCUGUGCCUUGUGGCUUCAACACUCGCCUGCAUGGACACAAACCACCUUCUCCUGACUGACCCCAGAGCCUGCUGACAACCUGAGCCCCCUCACCUCUCAGCUGCAGCACCCCAGAGGGCCCGGCCUCGCCCCUGCUUCACUGUCUCUGAAGGACGGACCCUCCUCCAGGUGGCUUGUACUGGCAGUGGGGACAACUUGGACCAUCAGAUCCUGUCACUUUCUCUCUUGUGUGUCCCCUCCUUUCUAUACCAACGCCAGAACCCAGUGACACAUUCUGAACUCUGACCCCAGGGCAGCCACCCUUGGGCCUCCUGAUCCCGGGCACAGGACACUGACACUCAGUGAUAAUGACACUUAGCCGUUUCCCACAGGCUCCCAUUCUCCCCUUGAGCUCCCCAUGCGGGCCUGGCCCUCCCCCAGGGCACCCCAGGUGGCCUCCGCUCUCCCCGCCUCCAGGCUCCCACCCUCCAACCCUCCCCACAAAUACUUGGCCCCAACCCUCCCCCCAGACCAUUCUGGGAAUGUGGCCCCUGCUCACAGGUCAGUGAUCUGUGUCCCCUGGAGCUGCCCCUCUACUGAGCGCCCUUGUCAGUCCCCUGCCACCACUGCCCUCACCAACUUCUAACCCGUUCUUACAGGCCUCGAUCUUAUCUGCCUGAGGCCUGCUUGCUCCCGCUGCUUUUCUCCCAGAGGCCUCUGGGGGUGCCAGAUGGAGGAUGGGUCUGGCUCCAGUACCCCACUGACCUUCUUCCUUCCAUUGCCCCUAUCCGUAGCUACCCACUGUCAUGCCCAACCCAUGACUGUGGGACUGACCGAGGAGUGAGGUUCCGCCCCAUGCCGGGGUCACCCACCUAUGAGUGGAUCCAGGGGCACUCUGCCGAGGAGAGGGACCUCCAGGUCCUUGCACAUGAGCUCCGCGCCCCCGGUCGUGGGAGGGAAUAUCUGAGAUUCUUUCUGCAAGGCAAAUUCAAAGGGGAGGAAACAUGAUUUUCUUGCAGAAUCACAAGGAUGGACCACAUUUUUUUUUUUCUGAGAUAGAGUCACACUCUGUCACCCAGGCUGGAGUGCAAUGGGGCAAUCCUGGCUCACUGCAACGUCCACCUCUCCAGUUCCAACGAUUCUCCUGCCUCAGCCUCCUGAACAGCUGGGAUUACAGGCACCCACCACCAUGCCUGGCUAAUUUUUUUGUAUUUUUGUAGAGAUGGGGUUUCACCAUGUUGGCCAGCCUGGUCUCAAACUUUUGACCUCAGGUGAUGCACCCACCUCGGCCCCCCGAAGUGCUGGGAUUAUAGGCAUGAGCCACCGCACCCGGCCUGGAUGGACUACAUUUUAAAGAAACUUACACACACACAAAAGCUUAGUUUGAAUGUGAAACACUUAACACCAAAAGAACUUUCCUUGAGUCAGCAGAAAGGGAUUUUAAUUGUGAGUCCACUUCCCAAAAUGCCGGGGAAAGCAGAAACCAUGUGCAGAGCACCCUUCUGACUGACUGCUCAACCGUGAAAGCAGCAGCAUCUUCAGAUCGCCUGGCGGCCCCAUGGGCCCUCACCUUGCACUUAGGACAGAGGAAGCCACUCAUGUUCUCCACCACCCCGAUGAUGGGCAGCUUCACCUUGCGGCAGAAGCUGAUUUCUUUCCGGACAUCCUGGAGGGACACCUCCUACGAAGGUGAAGAGAUCAGUGAUUCCAGCAUCAAAGUGCGAGAAAGGGAAUGUCUGUGCACCUGAGGGGGUGGCUGCAAUGCAGUGGAUCUGCUGUCGUGAGCCUUAGAGGUUUCUGCCCUGGUAUGGUUUGAUUCUGUGUCCCCAUCCAAAUCUCAUCACGAAUUGUAAUCCCCACAAUCCCUACGUGUUGAGGGCAGUACCAGGUGGGAGGUGACUGGAUCAUGGGGGCGGUUCCCCCAUGCUGUUUUGUGAUGGUGAGUCUUCACAAGAUCUGAUGGGUUUUAUAAAUGUUUCACAGUUCCUCCUACACACAGUCUCUCUCACUGCUGCUACUGUGUAUCAUGUGCCUGCUUCGCCUUCUUCCAUGACUGUAAGUUUCCUGAGGCCUUCCCAGCCAUGUGGAACUGUGAGUCAAUUAAACCUCUUUCCUUUAUAAAUUA